CCUACGGGCGGCAGCAGUGGGGGAUAUUGCACAAUGGGGGGAACCCUGAUGCAGCGACGCCGCGUGGGUGAAGGAGCGUUUCGGCGCGUAAAGCCCUAUCGGCAGGGAAGAAGAUGACGGUACCUGGCCAAGAAGCCCCGGCGAACUACGUGCCAGCAGCCGCGGUAAUACGUUGGGGGCAAGCGUUAUCCGGAUGUACUGGGUGUAAAGGGGGCGCAGACGGCAAUGCAAGCCAGGUGUGAAAGUCCGGGGCCAAACCCCGGAACUGCACUUGGAACUGCGUGGCUGGAGUACAGGAGAGGCAGGCGGAAUUCCUGGUGUAGCGGUGAAAUGCGUAGAUAUUAGGAGGAACACCGGUGGCGAAGGCGGCCUGCUGGACUGUGACUGACGUUGAGGCCCGAAGGCGUGGGGAGCAAACAGGAUUAGAUACCCUUGUAGUC
rnacentral:rRNA from 1 species